GUGAGUCAUCGAAUCUUUGAACGCACAUUGCGCCCUCCGGUAUUCCGGAGGGCAUGCCUGUUCGAGCGUCAUUUCAACCCUCAAGCACUGCUUGGUGUUGGGGCACUGCUCCUCUCGCGGGGAGCAGGCCCUGAAAUCCAGUGGCGAGCUCGCCAGGACCCCGAGCGCAGUAGUUAAACCCUCGCUCUGGAAGGCCCUGGCGGUGCCCUGCCGUUAAACCCCCAACUCUUGAAAAUUUGACCUCGGAUCAGGUAGGAAUACCCGCUGAACUUAAGCAUAUCAAUAAGCGGAGGA
rnacentral:misc_RNA from 1 species